rnacentral:rRNA from 2 species
CGCAAGCCUGAUGGAGCAACACCGCGUGAGUGAAGAAGGGUUUCGGCUCGUAAAGCUCUGUUGUUAAAGAAGAACACGUAUGAGAGUAACCGUUCAUACGUUGACGGUAUUUAACCAGAAAGUCACGGCUAACUACGUGCCAGCAGCCGCGGUAAUACGUAGGUGGCAAGCGUUAUCCGGAUUUAUUGGGCGUAAAGAGAGUGCAGGCGGUUUUCUAAGUCUGAUGUGAAAGCCUUCGGCUUAACCGGAGAAGUGCAUCGGAAACUGGAUAACUUGAGUGCAGAAGAGGGUAGUGGAACUCCAUGUGUAGCGGUGGAAUGCGUAGAUAUAUGGAAGAACACCAGUGGCGAAGGCGGCUACCUGGUCUGCAACUGACGCUGAGACUCGAAAGCAUGGGUAGCGAACAGGAUUAGAUACCCUGGUAGUCCAUGCCGUAAACGAUGAGUGCUAGGUGUUGGAGGG